GUCAGAGGCGAUAGCACGGUGCACCAGUUCUCAAAGGGGCACUGAAGUUAAGCAACGUUGCGCGUGGUUAGUAUCCGAACAGGUGACCAUCUGAGUAAUUGCGUACCUACUGCUG
rnacentral:rRNA from 1 species